AAAUGUAGUCACUGUCCCGGAACCUGGGGCAGCGGAGUCCCGUGCGCCCUGUGGUGACAGCUCAGGAGGGUGUGUGCGCUCAGCAGGGGCCAGCAUGGACCAGUCUGUGGCAAUCCAGGAGACGCUGGCUGAGGGGGAAUACUGCGUCAUCGCGGUGCAAGGUGUGCUGUGUGAGGGGGACAGCCGGCAGAGCCGCCUCCUGGGACUCGUGCGCUACCGCCUGGAGCACGGCGGCCAGGAACACGCUCUCUUCCUCUAUACGCACCGGAGGAUGGCCAUUACCGGGGACGAUGUCUCUCUGGACCAGAUAGUGCCAGUCUCGCGGGAUUUUACGCUGGAAGAAGUGUCCCCAGAUGGUGAACUCUACAUCCUUGAGACGGGGUUUCACCGUGUUGGCCAGGAUGGUCUCGAUCUCCUGACCUUGUGAUCCACCCCACCUCGGCCUCCCAAAGUGCUGGGAUUACAGGCAUGAGCCACCGCACCGGGCCUAAAUCAGGCUUUUCUCACAGCUCUAUGAGGUUAUCACUGUUUGCAUCUCCAUUUUAUGGACAAGGCUCAGAUGUGACCGUCCAGCUGGACACAGCAGAGCUUAGCCUCGUAUUCCAACUGCCCUUUGGUUCACAAACCAGGAUGUUCCUCCACGAAGUUGCCAGGGCCUGUCCAGGCUUCGAUUCUGCGACCCGGGAUCCUGAAUUCCUGUGGCUGUCUCGGUAUAGGUGCGCAGAGCUGGAGCUGGAGAUGCCAACGCCGCGCGGUUGUAACUCGGCCCUAGUUACCUGGCCAGGGUACGCGACAAUUGGCGGAGGUGGUUCUAACUUUGAUGGUUUGAGACCAAAUGGGAAGGGAGUGCCUAUGGACCAAAGCUCCAGGGGUCAAGAUAAACCAGAAAGCUUGCAACCAAGACAGAAUAAAUCCAAGUCCGAAAUUACUGACAUGGUUCGCUCCUCCACUAUCACAGUGUCGGACAAGGCUCAUAUUUUAUCCAUGCAGAAGUUUGGACUGCGAGAUACAAUUGUGAAAUCACAUCUACUACAGAAAGAAGAGGAUUACACCUAUAUCCAGAACUUCAGGUUUUUUGCGGGAACAUACAAUGUAAAUGGGCAGUCCCCCAAAGAAUGCCUCCGGCUGUGGCUGAGCAAUGGUAUCCAGGCCCCAGAUGUCUAUUGUGUAGGGUUCCAGGAGCUUGAUCUGAGUAAGGAAGCUUUUUUCUUUCACGAUACCCCAAAGGAGGAAGAGUGGUUCAAAGCUGUGUCAGAGGGUCUUCAUCCAGAUGCCAAAUAUGCAAAGGUGAAGCUUAUCCGACUGGUUGGGAUUAUGCUGCUGUUAUAUGUCAAACAGGAGCAUGCAGCUUAUAUCUCAGAAGUGGAAGCCGAGACUGUGGGGACAGGAAUCAUGGGGAGGAUGGGCAACAAGGGAGGCGUGGCGAUCAGGUUCCAGUUCCACAACACCAGCAUCUGCGUUGUGAAUUCUCACUUGGCAGCCCACAUUGAAGAGUAUGAGAGGAGGAACCAGGACUAUAAGGACAUUUGUUCUCGAAUGCAGUUUUGUCAGCCUGACCCAAGCCUUCCCCCUCUCACCAUCAGCAACCAUGAUGUGAUCUUGUGGCUGGGGGACCUCAACUACAGGAUAGAAGAGCUGGAUGUGGAAAAAGUGAAAAAGCUCAUCGAAGAGAAGGACUUUCAAAUGCUGUAUGCAUAUGAUCAGCUGAAAAUUCAGGUGGCCGCAAAGACUGUCUUUGAAGGCUUCACAGAGGGUGAGCUCACAUUCCAGCCUACUUACAAGUAUGAUACGGGCUCUGACGACUGGGAUACCAGGAGGAUAAAGAUCAGAGAAUCAGUCUGAACUCUGUUUUGGCUUUGAGCUUUCAUGGUUGUUUUGGAUGAUACCCACAGGAUACAUGUUAUCCCUUGGUGGGCCCGAAUUGCUCUUGCUGCCUCAGAUGACUUAGCCACAUGGACAUGAAGGCCCUGAUUCAUCACUCCCCACCUGAGCCAGGGCACUCGCCAGGCAGCGGGCACUGCUGUUUCUGUGAGUACUUCCAGUGUGGACUUUGCAUUUCAGUGAGAAGUGCCGUGCUCCUGCCUGGUGUGAUCGGAUUCUCUGGAAAGGGAAGAACAUCACUCAGCUGAGUUACCAGAGCCACAUGGCCCUGAAGACCAGUGACCACAAGCCUGUCAGCUCAGUGUUUGACAUCGGGGUGAGGGUCGUAAAUGACGAGCUUUACCGGAAGACACUGGAGGAAAUUGUUCGCUCCCUGGAUAAGAUGGAAAAUGCCAACAUUCCUUCUGUGUCCCUGUCCAAGCGAGAGUUCUGUUUUCAGAAUGUGAAGUACAUGCAAUUGAAAGUAGAAUCCUUUACAAUUCAUAAUGGACAAGUACCCUGUCAUUUUGAAUUCAUCAACAAGCCUGAUGAAGAGUCUUACUGUAAGCAGUGGCUGAAUGCCAACCCCAGCAGAGGCUUCCUCCUGCCAGAUUCUGAUGUUGAGAUUGACUUGGAGCUCUUCGUAAAUAAGAUGACAGCUACAAAGCUCAACUCGGGUGAAGACAAAAUUGAGGACAUUCUGGUUCUGCACUUGGACAGGGGAAAGGAUUACUUUUUGUCUGUGUCUGGGAACUACCUGCCCAGCUGUUUUGGGUCUCCCAUUCAUACACUGUGUUACAUGAGAGAGCCAAUCUUGGACCUACCACUUGAAACCAUUAGUGAGCUGACUCUGAUGCCAGUAUGGACUGGAGAUGAUGGGAGCCAGUUGGAUAGCCCCAUGGAAAUCCCCAAAGAGCUCUGGAUGAUGGUUGAUUACCUGUACCGAAAUGCUGUCCAGCAGGAAGAUCUGUUUCAGCAACCAGGCCUGAGGUCAGAAUUUGAACAUAUCAGGGACUGCUUGGAUACUGGAAUGAUUGAUAACCUCUCUGCCAGCAAUCAUUCUGUAGCCGAAGCCCUGCUGCUUUUCCUGGAGAGCCUUCCAGAGCCUGUCAUCUGUUACAGCACCUACCAUAACUGCUUGGAGUGUUCUGGCAACUACACAGCAAGCAAACAGGUCAUUUCUACUCUCCCCAUAUUCCACAAAAAUGUCUUCCACUACUUGAUGGCGUUUUUGCGAGAACUGCUGAAAAAUUCAGCAAAAAAUCAUUUGGAUGAGAAUAUUCUAGCUAGCAUAUUUGGCAGCUUAUUGCUUCGAAACCCAGCUGGUCACCAAAAGCUUGAUAUGACAGAGAAGAAGAAGGCUCAAGAAUUUAUUCACCAGUUCCUCUGCAACCCACUCUGAGCCUCUCUCUCCUCCUAUUUUACUUGAGGCUGCCAAUUACCAGCCCCACCUGUUUCAGCUCAAGAGAUGCCUUAAGAUAAUUAUGUGAGGCCACUUGGUAGCAAGAAUGGCAGCUAUUUCCUGAGCCUAGUACCCCAAUUAAGCCCACCAUUGGUUAGCACACUCAGCGCUGUGAGUCGUGAAGACACGGGAGAAAAUCCACCAUAAUAAAACUGACAUUCAAUUUUCAACUUUAGUUAUUUAACACAGAUUUUUUUAUUUUUUAUUUUUUUUUAUUUUGAGACGGAGUUUUGCUCUGUCGCGCAGGGUGGAGUGCGGUGGCACGAUCUCGGCUCACUGCAACCUCUGCCUCCUGGGUGCAAGCAAUUAUCCUGCCUCAGCCUCCCGAGUAGCUGGGACUGCAGGCACACACUGCCACGCCCAGCUAAUUUUUUGCAUUUUAGUAGAGACGGGGUUUCACCGUGUUGCCCAGGCUGUUCUAAAACUCCUGAACUCAGGUAAUCUGCCUGCCUCGGCCUCCCCAAGUGCUAGGAUUACAGAUGUGAGCCACCACGCCCGGCCUUUUUUUUUUUUUUUUCUUUUUUGAGAUGGAGUUUCACUCUUGUUGCCCAGGCUGGAGUGCGUUGGCGUGGUCUUGGCUCACUGCAACCUCUGCCUCCUUGGUUCAAGCAAUUCUCCUGCCUCAGCCUCUCGAGUAGCUGGGAUUAUAGGCGUCCGCCACCAUGCCUGGCUAAUUUUUUUGUGUGUUUUUAGUAUAGACACGGUUUCACCAUGUUGGCCAGGCUGGUCUCGAAUGCCUGGCCUCAGGUGAUCCACCUGCCUUGGCCUCCCAAAGUGCUGGGAUUACAGGCAUGAACCACCACGCCUGGCCUAAAAUGUUUUUAAAUAACUGUACUUGUACUCACUCACCCUACCUCCAGGGCAUAGUCAGUCUGGGCUGAGAUCCCCAUGAUCAGAUAUUUGAUGGAAAGUCCUGAAAGGCCAAUGAGUUGGAUGGCAAGAAUGCAGGCAGAAGCUGCUGGAUAAAAUAGGCUACAGCCACCUCAGAUGCUUUCAGUGCUCUGUCUGAGGAUGUGUAUAUGCAUAUGCAAACUCGACCCCCGUUCCUGCCCAGAUAAUGGCUCAAUAACUCUGAGGCUGGUUGCUCAGCCUCUGAGGGCAAUACAGGCAUUUAAAAAAUUAAAAUGACCAGGCACAGUGGCUCACGCCUGUAAUCUCGGCACUUUGGGAGACUGAGGUGGGAGCAUCACUUGAGACCAGGAGUUUGGGACCAGGCUGGGCAACACAGGGAGACCCCCUCUCUACAAAAACAUUUUUAAAAAAUUAGCUGGGUGUGGUGAUGCAUGCCUGUGGUCCCAGUUACUUGGGAGGCUGACGUGGGUGGCUCACUUGAGCACAGGAGUUUGAGGCUGCAGUGACCUAUGACCACAUCACUGUACGCCAGCCCGGGUGAGAGAGGGAGACCCCGUCUCUAAAAAUAAAAUGUAAAAUCACUGAAAAAAUGAGUGUUCGGUGAAACAAGUGGGAUUUUCUGGGCCAGCAAGUCUUCCAAACUGUAUAUGAUGCAUCCUGUCUCCAUGUGUAAUAUAUUUUAAUGAUAAAUGUAUUUUUAACAGUG